CUCAGAUCCCCGUGGCGCAGCGGUUAGCGCGCCGUUCUUAUAUCAAAAUUCCUUCGGGACUUGAUAUGGUAGACAUGCGGAUGUCGCGAGUUCAAAUCUCGCCGGUGAGU